GGGGCUAUAGCCAAGCGGUAAGGCACGGGUCUGCAACACCCUCAUCACCAGUUCAAAUCUGGUUAGCCCCUCCA
rnacentral:tRNA from 1 species